AGAAUUAUGAAGUUUAAGAAUUUUGUUAGGUUUAGAAUCAAUUAUUUAUAUAAUUCUACCAGGUUUAUUUUUAUGUUUCUAGUUUAAGAGUUUGUUCAGUAAUACUAGCUAUUCUAAUAGCGGUUAGUUAUUAUAGUAGUUGUUAGCUGUUUUACUGGCUUUUAGCUAUCAAAUGUUAAAUGUUUAUAUAGUAAUUUAGAAUAGAAGUGUUCGGUAAAAAUAGUUGUUGGAUUAGCUGUUAAAUAUAAAA
rnacentral:misc_RNA from 1 species